rnacentral:rRNA from 1 species
AGGAUGAACGCUGGCGGCGUGCCUAAUACAUGCAAGUCGAGCGGUAAGGCCCCUUCGGGGGUACACGAGCGGCGGACGGCUGAGUAACACGUAGGAACGUACCCCAAACUGAGGGAUAAGCACCAGAAAUGGUGUCUAAUACCGCAUGUGAUCUUCGGAUUAAAGCUUCGGCGGUUUGGGAACGGCCUGCGCAUGAUUAGCUUGUUGGUGAGGUAAUAGCUCACCAAGGCGACGAUCAUUAGCUGGUCUGAGAGGAUGAUCAGCCAGACUGGGACUGAGAACGGCCCAGACUCCUACGGGAGGCAGCAGUAGGGAAUUUUCCACAAUGGGCGAAAGCCUGAUGGAGCAACGCCGCGUGCAGGACGAAGGCCUUCGGGUUGUAAACUGCUUUUAUAUGUGACGAUUAUGACGGUAGCAUAUGAAUAAGGAUCGGCUAACUCCGUGCCAGCAGCCGC